rnacentral:rRNA from 1 species
UACGUAGGGUCCGAGCGUUACUCGGAAUUACUGGGCGUAAAGCGUGCGCAGGCGGUUUUGUAAGCCAGAUGUGAAAGCCCCGGGCUUAACCUGGGAAUGGCAUUUGGGACUGCAAGGCUGGAGUACGGCAGAGGGAGGUGGAAUUCCAGGUGUAGCAGUGAAAUGCGUAGAUAUCUGGAGGAACACCGAUGGCGAAGGCAGCCUCCUGGGCUAGUACUGACGCUCAUGCACGAAAGCGUGGGGAGCAAACAGG